CACGUAGGGGGCAAGCGUUGUCCGGAUUUAUUGGGCGUAAAGAGCUCGUAGGUGGUUCGAUAAGUCGGGUGUGAAACCUCCAGGCUCAACCUGGAGACGCCACCCGAUACUGUCGUGACUAGAGUCCAGUAGGGGAGCAUGGAAUUCCUGGUGUAGCGGUGAAAUGCGCAGAUAUCAGGAGGAACACCAGUGGCGAAGGCGGUGCUCUGGGCUGGAACUGACACUGAGGAGCGAAAGCGUGGGGAGCGAACAGG
rnacentral:rRNA from 1 species